UCCAAGCUCCCAUAGUGGAUAGACCACCUUCGAAUUCAUGGGAUUUAUCGUUGGUCAAGCUCUCCAUCUAAUCCUCGGUCAUCCACGAGCAUGCCUCUUCUUCCUCUCCAUGCUAAUGUGAAUUUCCAUUACUAAGAUCCUAUGCUGAGUCGCGAGGGUCUCUCCCAGGAUAACCUUGCAAUCCUUGCACAACCCUCUACCACACCUUCUGAGGAGAAGUUAAUCAAUGAGAUUCUUCACCGUCGAACUCUAGAAAGUAACCAUAUGAUCCCCCCUCUACGGAAAAUUUGAG
rnacentral:lncRNA from 1 species